ensembl:antisense 0610040B10Rik RIKEN cDNA 0610040B10 gene
GUCUUUGGCCUCUGGUUCUGCGAGCCGAUUGUGUUUUCGUACCGUCGUAGGUUUUCUUUCUCUUUUCUUUUUCUCUUAACGUUUGUCUUUCUCCCUCCCUCGUCCUCUGCUCUCUCUUCCUUCGCACUUUUAUUAUUACUUGACAAUUUACUGCCUAUGUACGAGUCCUUCGUUCUCCCAACCCCGUCCCAUUUUCGUGGCCUUGAUUUGAUUCUUGUGGGUGUGUUUGCUUGUUGUGAUCCGCUGAGUGUAAUUCUGAUUUCUUGUAUGUGCGUAGAUUUAAAAAGCUAUUUUCUUUUUCUUCUUUAAAAAAAAAAAAAGAUUUGUUUUAUUUAUUUUAUGUGAGUCCAAUGUCGCUGUCUCCAGACACACCAGAAGAGGGCAUCAAAUCCCAUUACAGAUGGUUGUGAGCCACCAUAUGGUUGGGGGGAUUUGAACUCAGGACCUCUGGAAGAGCAGUCAGUGCUCUUAACCGCUGAGCCAUCUCUCCAGCCCUAGCUAUUUUCUUUUUAAGAAUUUCUUUCCAAAAUAUGAUCUCAGCUAGGCAUAGUGGCCCAUGACUUUAUUCACCGCCCUAAGGAAACAGAGGCAGGUCUCUCUGAGUCAGAGGUCAGCCUUGUUUACAUGAGUUCCGGGACAGGCAGGGCUACAUAGCUAGACCUUUUCUAAAACAAAACAAAACAAAUGAGCAAACAAAAUUAAAGUCCCACCAAAUUAUACCAGGCUGGCCUUGGGCUUUUGAACCUCCUGUCUCAGCCUAACUUUGGUUGGGAUGGCAGGCACACCUAACACAGGAACUGGAAUUUUCGAGCACUUUUGACAGAAUAUGAAGGCUGUCUUGGGUCGGUGCAGGAGAACUGCUGGACUGUGCCGAGCCUUUGCAUGUCCUGGCGGGAACUCAGCAGUAACCCUUGACCACCCAGCAGGUACCUAGACAGGGACACCUGUGUCUUCCUGGCAGACACACCACUGGGCCCUGUCCCAACAGUCCCAGCAUGUUCCACUGCAGGGGUCACAGUAUGUCCCCCUGUGAGUCAGGUUCUGCUGACCGCAUGCCCCUACUCCUGCCAUCUCUGUGCACAGCUUUAACGUCCUCCCUGUGGGGAGCAGUGACUAGUGUUUUAUCCCUGAGGAUAAAAAGGCUGUUUUGAUAAUGGGCAGGCUUGGCUUGAGAGGAGCUGCUGCUAAACAUAGCACUGAGAAGGUUCCUGGAGGGGAUGGGGGUGCUGCUUUGUCUGAGUGCCCCCCAGGUCCUCCGAGAACUAUUCUUGACGCCUCUGAAAAACAGGUUCCCUUUGAGGAAAAAAAUGUCUGAUCUCUAAGCAUUAGCCUCAAAGCUCCCCUCUCCUGUUUGCUUUGCUUCCUACCCCAGCUUCUCAUUUCUUUUUCCUUUUAGAAAAAAAAAAAAAAGAAAAGAAAGAAAACAACUACCUUUCUGAAUGUAUUGUAUCCAAGGCCUUUGCAAUGUUGGGAGCAGAGUGAGCAGGUGUGGGGAGUCCUGAAAGACUGGUUACAUUACGGAGGUCAUCUGGCAUCCAGAGAAAGCUACUGCUUCAUCAAGCAGUUCUCCACCCUGCUGUAAUUAAAUACCUUGAAUUUUCUUUCUUUCCCCCAUGUAAAUGAAGGACUUCGUGGUCUUCUCU